rnacentral:piRNA from 1 species
GCUAAUUAAACGUCUGUGUAAAUU